rnacentral:tRNA from 1 species
UAGCUCAGUUAGUAGAGUGCUUGCCUUGCAUGCAUAAGGCCCUGGGUUCAAUCCCCAG